ACGGGAGGCAGCAGUGGGGAAUAUUGCACAAUGGGGGAAACCCUGAUGCAGCGACGCCGCGUGAGUGAAGAAGUAUUUCGGUAUGUAAAGCUCUAUCAGCAGGAAAGAAAAUGACGGUACCUGACUAAGAAGCCCCGGCUAACUACGUGCCAGCAGCCGCGGUAAUACGUAGGGGGCAAGCGUUAUCCGGAUUUACUGGGUGUAAAGGGAACGUAGACGGUAAGGCAAGUCUGAAGUGAAAUGCCAGGGCUCAACCCUGGAACUGCUUUGGAAACUGUCCUACUAGAGUGCAGGAGAGGUAAGUGGAAUUCCUAGUGUAGCGGUGAAAUGCGUAGAUAUUAGGAGGAACACCAGUGGCGAAGGCGGCUUACUGGACUGUAACUGACGUUGAGGCUCGAAAGCGUGGGGAGCAAACAGGAUUAGAUACCCUGGUA
rnacentral:rRNA from 1 species